rnacentral:rRNA from 1 species
CGCAAUGGGCGAAAGCCUGACGGAGCAACGCCGCGUGAGUGAUGACGGCCUUCGGGUUGUAAAACUCUGUGAUCCGGGACGAAAAGGCAGAGUGCGAAGAACAAACUGCAUUGACGGUACCGGAAAAGCAAGCCACGGCUAACUACGUGCCAGCAG